rnacentral:tmRNA from 1 species
GGGGGCGAACUGGCUUCGACAGCAGAUACAAACCCUCAGGUGCAUGUCGAGAAGGUAGUGAUUCUCGUAAAUCAAUUACUGCAAACUUGUUAGUUGGCGAAAACGCAGACUACGCACUAGCCGCUUAAUUGGCUAGCUGUCCUUACCUGGUAUCCGUGCCAUUGUACUGACAGUCGACUUCACGGAUUGCAGAAAUUGCUCUUCUCAUUGGUAAUUUCUUAAGAAUAAAUUGAGAUCGUCUUUUAAACCCUGUUUAUCGGGUCUUUAAAGAUAAAAUUAAUAGAUAAAACUAAACAUGUAGAUCUUGUGGCAGAGUACUGAUGGACGCGGGUUCAAUUCCCGCCGCCUCCACCA